UCUAACUUCGUGAUACAUUCUAACAUCUAAAUACUUCAACACUAUUAAAUUUAUCAUAUUGUUUUUGUGGUAAUUUUCAAACCAAGCAUCAUCUCCACAAGUUACUUUAGAAAAUAUGUUAAAACUUCUUUAUAGUUCAGUUUUAACUUGAAUUAAAUAAAAAUUGUAUGGAUUUUUUGAAUGGAUUUGAUUAGUGUAUUGUUUAAAUAUUUUUUCAGUUACAUUACAGAUUAUCUCAACAUCAGGACUUAGUUUUGUGAGAUUCUUAAUUUCUGUCAAACUACAUGAUCUGCUAUUUCCUUAUUAAUAUUCUGAUUAAGAUAAAGUAUGUCGAAUGAAAAAGGGGUAUAUAUAUAUAUUAUUUCUCAUAAAAAAAUUGUAUUGAUCCAUACACUUUUCAAUAAGUUAUAGCAUUAUAAAGUUAAAAAUGUAAAAAAUAAAAUCGAGAAUUUCCACACAAAAAUAGCAUUUGGUAGUCAUUUUCAUCAUGAAGAAAAAAUAAAGUACAAAAUUCUUUUUGUAAAAAAAAGUAUAUUACAUUAGCUUUAAUUUAAUAUAUAUAUAAAAGUGUCAGUAUUUCCGGUACACUUUCAAAAGUUAAGUUAAAAAAGUAAAUUUUUUGUGAAAAAGUUGUCAUUUUGAAUCCCUCCCUGUAGGCAGGUAAAGGGUCAGAUUUAUAAAGAAAAUAUACAAAAUAAUAGGUAAGUACCUCUCGUAUCUAUAUAAAAAAAAUUAUAUUGAUUUGGUCAUUUAUAAAAAAGUUAUGGUGGUUUUAAGUAAAAAAAAUUGAAAAAGUGUCGAAAUUUAGCGGUUUUUUAUCCCAUUUAUGGGGAACAAGGAAAAUUUUUUUAUUUAUUGAGGGUAAUGUCUUCGACUAGAUACGAUUUGUGAUCUUUUGACGUAUCGUUGAAAGAAAUCAGUUCGGUGAGAGCUGAGAAAGAGUGGUAACAGACACAAAAAAAAAAACACAUAGUAAAAUUAAUAUUUUCCAGCUUUGCAUCGAAGCUAAAACAGUAUAUUAUGCUUUUAUCGUAAUUGAAAUGUAAACAAACGGCCUCAAUUUCUUAUCAGUUCAAGACCGCGAAAACACAUUCCUAAUGUUCUAUCCAUGUUUAUAAGAUCUAUGGUAACGAACCAUCUAUGUCCCUGUAAAUUCAGUCUGUACAGUAGGGUCUCAAUAAUCCGAACACAGGCUAAUCCGAAAGACGCGGUAGUCCGAACGGGCUUGAGAAUUAUCUUAUUGCUAUAAUAUGUACAUAUUCAUUUAUAAAUAAUAUUUUCCGAUAAUAAAAUUUUUCGAUUAUGUUUGUACAUCCAACAUCGCACAUGUACGUCGUUUAGAUAUGAUACGUUAGAUAUGAACGUCGAUUACAUACAUUCGUCAGUUGAGUGUCAUACUGCAUAAAGAUCGCUUUACACUGCGUAUUUGUAACAUUUAUUAGCGUAUUUUUCUUAAAAUGGCUCCACGUAAGCAUGUUACAUUAAAAUUACAGGAUAAAAAACAAGGAAAAAAUAGAGAAGUUUGUCAUUGAAACGGAAAAUGGUCCAGGUAAGCGUAAAACGUUAAAUACGACCAUACAGUGGGCUGAACAAAACGAUGAAAGCUGCGAAGAACUUAUGUUGCUUAGACGUUUACGGGACAAGGAUACCAAUCCAUAAUAGAAACCAGUGUACAAAAAAAAAAAUAAAUCAAUAUUUUAAAUACUAAAAAUUUAUGGACGGAAAAGAUAAAAAAUGAUGAGGUUUUCAGGAAAAUGAAUACCCAAAAAUCGAAAAUGGAAUACGUUAAGACUGAGGAGGAAAGCAUGGAUCGGACAUGUAAUUAGGAAUAGUCCAUAGAUAACCACAAUAAUAGAAGGAAAAAUCGAAGGGAAACUUGGAAGAGGAAGGCCCAGAACCCCAUUUCUAAAGCAGGUGAUGGAAGAUAUCGGAAUAGGAACAUACUGGGAGAUAAAGAUGAUUAUAAGUGACAGAGACAAGUGGAGAGAAACAUCAAUAAUCAUUUAUCCAAUCUUCGAAUUAAAAAAAAAAAAAUUUCAUAAUCAAGACUCCUUAAAACAAAAUCUGUUUCAAAAUUUUAUAUUCAUACAACAUAACUUGGGUAACAUAAACCACCUUGAUAUCAUUUCUAUUUUUUCAACUAAUGUUGAAGAAUGUAAAAAGUCUUCUUUAUUAGAAGAAAAGUGCAGAAACACCAGGACACUUAAUUUACUAACUAAAAAUCCAGCAAUAUAAAUAAUUAUUUGUUUGGAAAAAUUACUCAUUACAUAAAAUUCUUCUCUGAUUGGGAUAACAUAGUAUUUAAAUUGUGUUUACUAAAUCUAAGAACAUUAGAAACCGACUGACUAAGUAACUGUGUUGCAAGCUUAACUUUCAAUUUUUGUUUAAAAAAAAUAUAUGUGUCUCUUUCUAAGUUCAUUAGCUAAAUAGCAGCAUUCUUGUUCUUGUAAUAUAAACAGUUCAUAAAUAAAAUUAAAAUCAAUGGUAUUAUCAUCUUUAUCUGUAAAAAUUUUUCAUUCAGCAAAGAGUUUUGCACUAGUUUUAUCUAAUAUAACUACAAUCUCAGAAUAAUAUAAAAUUUGGCCUAAUAAUAAAAAUAAUCAGAAAAUGAAAAAAUAAAUGUAACAAUUGAACAAAAUGUAUUUUGCAUACACAACCGAAAUUAUUCUUCAAAUCCUAAAUGAAGGAGAAUACUGAAUCAAAGUGACUCAAGCCGAGUAGAAUGACUCGAUUUUUUGGCAAAAAGGUUAUACAUCAGAGAUGAGUAACGUCGUCUCAAUAUUACAACAGAAUGGACACUGAUAAAAAAUUACAUGGUCAAUAUAGGGAGGUGAUUAGAAUCAGUCCACCAUUUUUAUGUAGGUAAAUCAAUGUGACCACUUUUUACACUAAAAUUGUGUAUACCUUUUUCAAAAUGUAAAGUAACAAUUUUGAUUACGGUAUUUAUGUUUUUUUUUAUAUUUUUGAACG